GGCGCCAUGGCUUAGUGGUAAAGCGCCUGUCUUGUAAACAGGAGAUCCUGGGUUCG
rfam:Ciona savignyi cont_26874, whole genome shotgun sequence.